AAAACGACUCUCGGCAACGGAUAUCUCGGCUCUCGCAUCGAUGAAGAACGUAGCGAAAUGCGAUACUUGGUGUGAAUUGCAGAAUCCCGUGAACCAUCGAGUCUUUGAACGCAAGUUGCGCCCCAGGCCUUCGGUCCGAGGGCACGCCUGCCUGGGUGUCACGC
rnacentral:rRNA from 1 species